rnacentral:lncRNA from 1 species
UUCGGAUUUCUCUCUCAUGGGCCCUUCUCUCUCAACACUUUUGAAAUGAGCUGAUGGGGGCUGAUAUUUAAAGGCACGGGCUUCCGCGGGUAAACUUGCGGCUUUCGCGGGUAAACUUGUGAAAAUGCCCUAGUGGGUCCCGCCGCCUCGAAGUUCGUGCACCUCAAUCGCUGCGCAGUCCCCUGAAACGUUUGUAACUUGCAAUCCGAAAAUUCGAUGGAGAUGUGCCAUACCAUUUUGGAAAGCUCUUUCUGAGAGAUAUGCAAUGACAUAGGUCUUGCACUUUUCCGAAUCUGGGAAAAUGGGUCCAUGACCAAACUGGUAUCUUCGGGUAUUCACAGGAAGUCCGUUGAGCUGUUUUGCAUAGUUUGCGUUCAGAAGUGUUGCAAUUGCUCAUUAUGACCUUAUUCGCAACUGUACUGUGGUUGUUGACGUUGUCUUGUCAAAAUGACCUUUUUACUCUCUCAAGGUUAUCUCCAGGGUUGAUGGGGCUUUUGGCUGUCUCUCGGAGUUGUCUCCGGAGUUUGAUUGCAAUCGAUUCUCUUCUUACUCAGGGUUGUCUCCGAGGUUGAUUUGAUAUCCCCCAGGGCUGUUUUCGGGGUUUGAUUUGAUUUGUACACUUUCAGGGUUAUCUUUAGAGUGUGAAAAAGACGUUUUUGCCUUCCUACAUAGUUAGUAACAGGAAAAC